CAAUAUGAGAAAGCUGACUUCCGUUAGUCCCGUUAGCGUCCCAUUUCAUCCCAUUUCCUCGGUGUCGUUGAACGUGGAAGCAUGUCGAUCAAUUUCUUUUGCGUAAUAAAAAAAAGGAAGAAUGCAAAAUGGAAAAGGAUGAUGACUUAUAAAAUGAAGAAAUAAGACUUGUACAUCAACAAUCAACAAUUCUUAAUCAUGAUGUUAUUAAUGGAAAAGGAUGAUGACUUAUAAAAUGAAGAAAUAAGACUUGUACAUCAACAAUCAACAAUUCUUAAUCAUGAUGUUAUUAAUGGUCAGUAUUCUGGGUGUUUUUAUAAUAAUUAUGUAAAUGUUUUUAUUCUUCGAUUAUACUAGUAAUCAUGAUGUUAUUAAUGGUCCGUGUUUCUGAAUGAUAGUGAUUUCUUUUACCAUUGCUGAUUAAUUAUAAAUUUCAUAUUUGUUUCACAAUUUUUGAGAUAUAUGGUUUAUUGAAAAAGAAAUGAUGUGAUUACAGGAAAAGGAUGAUGACUUAUAAAAUGAAGAAAUAAGACUUGUACAUCAACAAUCAACAAUUCUUAAUCAUGAUGUUAUUAAUGGUCAGUAUUCUGGGUGUUUUUAUAAUAAUUAUGUAAAUGUUUUUAUUCUUCGAUUAUACUAGUAAUCAUGAUGUUAUUAAUGGUCCGUGUUUCUGAAUGAUAGUGAUUUCUUUUACCAUUGCUGAUUAAUUAUAAAUUUCAUAUUUGUUUCACAAUUUUUGAGAUAUAUGGUUUAUUGAAAAAGAAAUGAUGUGAUUACAGGAAAAGGAUGAUGACUUAUAAAAUGAAGAAAUAAGACUUGUACAUCAACAAUCAACAAUUCUUAAUCAUGAUGUUAUUAAUGGUCAGUAUUCUGGGUGUUUUUAUAAUAAUUAUGUAAAUGUUUUUAUUCUUCGAUUAUACUAGUAAUCAUGAUGUUAUUAAUGGUCCGUGUUUCUGAAUGAUAGUGAUUUCUUUUACCAUUGCUGAUUAAUUAUAAAUUUCAUAUUUGUUUCACAAUUUUUGAGAUAUAUGGUUUAUUGAAAAAGAAAUGAUGUGAUUACAGGAAAAGGAUGAUGACUUAUAAAAUGAAGAAAUAAGACUUGUACAUCAACAAUCAACAAUUCUUAAUCAUGAUGUUAUUAAUGGUCAGUAUUCUGGGUGUUUUUAUAAUAAUUAUGUAAAUGUUUUUAUUCUUCGAUUAUACUAGUAAUCAUGAUGUUAUUAAUGGUCCGUGUUUCUGAAUGAUAGUGAUUUCUUUUACCAUUGCUGAUUAAUUAUAAAUUUCAUAUUUGUUUCACAAUUUUUGAGAUAUAUGGUUUAUUGAAAAAGAAAUGAUGUGAUUACAGGAAAAGGAUGAUGACUUAUAAAAUGAAGAAAUAAGACUUGUACAUCAACAAUCAACAAUUCUUAAUCAUGAUGUUAUUAAUGGUCAGUAUUCUGGGUGUUUUUAUAAUAAUUAUGUAAAUGUUUUUAUUCUUCGAUUAUACUAGUAAUCAUGAUGUUAUUAAUGGUCCGUGUUUCUGAAUGAUAGUGAUUUCUUUUACCAUUGCUGAUUAAUUAUAAAUUUCAUAUUUGUUUCACAAUUUUUGAGAUAUAUGGUUUAUUGAAAAAGAAAUGAUGUGAUUACAGGAAAAGGAUGAUGACUUAUAAAAUGAAGAAAUAAGACUUGUACAUCAACAAUCAACAAUUCUUAAUCAUGAUGUUAUUAAUGGAAAAGGAUGAUGACUUAUAAAAUGAAGAAAUAAGACUUGUACAUCAACAAUCAACAAUUCUUAAUCAUGAUGUUAUUAAUGGAAAAGGAUGGUGACAUAAGAUGAAGAAGUUAGACCUGUUAUCAACAAUCAAUUUAAUCUUUAAUACUGUGAAAAAACAUAAUUUAUUAUUCACAUCCCUGUAAAUAUAUAUUCAUUUCUAAAAAUAUUAAUCUAUUUACACAUUUUGAAGUCUAAGAAAAAAAAAUCUUUGAUCGGCGAUUGUGCACAAUAAUGUUGAUGACAUAUAAAUCCUUUAUAAAUAUAUAUAAUAAAAUCAAAUUUAAUUUU